CCUACGGGAGGCAGCAGUGAGGAAUAUUUGUCAAUGGCCGUAAGGCUGAACCAGCCCAGUCGCGUGUAGGAAGAAGGACCUAUGGUUUGUAAACUUCUUUUAUCGGGGAAUAAAGGUCUCCACGUGUGGAUCUUUGCGUGUACCCUAUGAAUAAGCAUCGGCUAACUCCGUGCCAGCAGCCGCGGUAAUACGGAGGAUGCGAGCGUUAUCCGGAUUUAUUGGGUUUAAAGGGCGCGUAGGUUGGUGUUUAAGUCGGCGGUGAAAGUCUGUGGCUCAACCAUAGAAUUGCCGUUGAAACUGGGAGGCUUGAGUAUGUUUGAGGCAGGCAGAAGGCGUGGUGUAGCGGUGAAAUGCUUAGAUAUCACGCAGAACCCCGAUUGCGAAGGCAGCCUGCCAAGCCAUGACUGACGCUGAUGCACGAAAGCGUGGGGAUCAAACAGGAUUAGAUACCCUAGUAGUC
rnacentral:rRNA from 1 species